rnacentral:rRNA from 1 species
CUGGUUGAUCCUGCCAGUAGUCAUAGAAGGGCUCAAAGAUUAAGCCAUGCAUGUCUAAGUAUAAGCAAUUUAUACAGUGAAACUGCGAAUGGCUCAUUAAAUCAAUUAUCGUUUAUUUGAUAGUACCUUACUACUUGGAUAACCGUGGUAAUUCUAGAGCUAAUACAUGCUUAAAAUCCCGACUGUUUGGAAGGGAUGUAUUUAUUAGAUAAAAAAUCAAUGUCUUCGGACUCUUUGAUGAUUCAUAAUAACUUUUCGAAUCGCAUGGCCUUGUGCUGGCGAUGGUUCAUUCAAAUUUCUGCCCUAUCAACUUUCGAUGGUAGGAUAGUGGCCUACCAUGGUUUCAACGGGUAACGGGGAAUAAGGGUUCGAUUCCGGAGAGGGAGCCUGAGAAACGGCUACCACAUCCAAGGAAGGCAGCAGGCGCGCAAAUUACCCAAUCCCGACACGGGGAGGUAGUGACAAUAAAUAACGAUACAGGGCCCUUUCGGGUCUUGUAAUUGGAAUGAGUACAAUGUAAAUACCUUAACGAGGAACAAUUGGAGGGCAAGUCUGGU